rnacentral:rRNA from 1 species
CCUACGGGAGGCUGCAGUGGGGAAUAUUGGACAAUGGGGGGAACCCUGAUCCAGCCAUGCCGCGUGUGUGAAGAAGGCCCUCGGGUUGUAAAGCACUUUCAGUGAGGAAGAACGCCUGGUGGUUAAUACCCAUCAGGAAAGACAUCACUCACAGAAGAAGCACCGGCUAACUCCGUGCCAGCAGCCGCGGUAAUACGGAGGGUGCGAGCGUUAAUCGGAAUUACUGGGCGUAAAGCGCGCGUAGGUGGCUUGAUAAGCCGGUUGUGAAAGCCCCGGGCUCAACCUGGGAACGGCAUCCGGAACUGUCAAGCUAGAGUGCAGGAGAGGAAGGUAGAAUUCCCGGUGUAGCGGUGAAAUGCGUAGAGAUCGGGAAGAAUACCAGUGGCGAAGGCGGCCUUCUGGACUGACACUGACACUGAGGUGCGAAAGCGUGGGUAGCAAACAGGAUUAGAUACCCUGGUAGUC